rnacentral:rRNA from 1 species
UACGUAGGGAGCAAGCGUUGUCCGGAAUCAUUGGGCGUAAAGCGCGCGUAGGUGGCCUCAUAAGUCCGCUGUGAAAGUCGGGGGCUCAACCCUCGGAUGCCGGUGGAUACUGUCGGGCUUGAGUACGGAAGAGGCGAGUGGAAUUCCUGGUGUAGCGGUGAAAUGCGCAGAUAUCAGGAAGAACACCUAUGGCGAAGGCAGCUCUCUGGGACGGUACUGACGCUGAGACGCGAAAGCGUGGGGAGCGAACAGG